GGUCCUCGUAGCUCAGGGGCAGAGCACCUGCUUGGCAUGCAGAAGGCCUGGGCUCAGUCCCCAGUGGCAUCU